UACGUAGGGGGCGAGCGUUGUCCGGAAUCAUUGGGCGUAAAGCGCGUGUAGGCGGCCCGGUAAGUCCGCUGUGAAAGUCCAGGGCUCAACCCUGGGAUGCCGGUGGAUACUGUCGGGCUCGAGUCCGGAAGAGGCGAGUGGAAUUCCUGGUGUAGCGGUGAAAUGUGUAGAGAUCGGGAGGAACACCGGUGGCGAAGGCGGGUCUCUGGGCAAUUCCUGACGCUGAGGCGCGAAAGCGUGGGGAGCAAACGGG
rnacentral:rRNA from 1 species